rnacentral:miRNA from 1 species
CCUCCAAAGGGAAGAACUUUCU